ACCCGCGCAAGCGGUGGAUGAUGUGGUUAAUUCGAUGCAACGCGAAAACCUUACCACCUUUGACAUGUACGGAAGUUGCCAGAGAUGGCUUCGUGCUCGAAAGAGAGCCGUAACACAGGUGCUGCAUGGCUGUCGUCAGCUCGUGUCGUGAGAUGUUGGGUUAAGUCCCGCAACGAGCGCAACCCUUGCCAUUAGUUGCUACGAAAGGGCACUCUAAUGGGACUGCCGGUGACAAACCGGAGGAAGGUGGGGAUGACGUCAAGUCCUCAUGGCCCUUAUAGGUGGGGCUACACACGUCAUACAAUGGCCGGUACAGAGGGUAGCCAACCCGCGAGGGGGAGCCAAUCCUGAAAGCAGGCCUCAGUUCAGAUUGCAGUCUGCAACUCGACUGCAUGAAGCCGGAGUUGCUAGUAACCGCAGGUCAGCAAUACUGCGGUGAAUACGUUCCCGGGUCUU
rnacentral:rRNA from 1 species